GGUCAGUAGUACAUGCAAGUCGAGCGGACAGAUGGGAGCUUGCUCCCGAUGUUAGCGGCGGACGGGUGAGUAACACGUGGGUAACCUGCCUGUAAGACUGGGAUAACUCCGGGAAACCGGGGCUAAUACCGGAUGCUUGUUUGAACCGCAUGGUUCAAACAUAAAAGGUGGCUUCGGCUACCACUUACAGAUGGACCCGCGGCGCAUUAGCUAGUGGUGAGGUAAUGGCUCACCAAGGCGACGAUGCGUAGCCGACCUGAGAGGGUGACGGCCACUGGGACUGAGACACGGCCCAGACUCCUACGGGAGGCAGCAGUAGGAAUCUUCCGCAAUGGACGAAAGUCUGACGGAGCAACGCCGCGUGAGUGAUGAAGGUUUCGGACGUAAAGCUCUGUUGUUAGGGAAGAACAAGUACCGUUCGAAUAGGGCGCCUUGACGGUACCUAACCAGAAAGCCACGGCUAACUACGUGCCAGCAGCCGCGGUAUACGUAGGUGGCAAGCGUUGUCCGGAAUUAUUGGGCGUAAAGGGCUCGCAGGCGUUUCUUAAGUCUGAUGUGAAAGCCCCCGGCUCAACCGGGGAGGGUCAUUGGAAACGGGGAACUUGAGUGCAGAAGAGGAGAGUGGAAUUCCACGUGUAGCGGUGAAAUGGUAGAGAUGUGGAGGAACACCAGUGGCGAAGGCGACUCUCUGGUCUGUAACUGAGGAGGAGCGAAAGCGUGGGGAGCGAACAGGAUUAGAUACCCUGGUAGUCCAGCCG
rnacentral:rRNA from 1 species